ACGAACGCUGGCGGCGUGCUUAACACCUGCAAGUCGCACGGAAAGGCCCUGCUUUUGUGGGGUGCUCGAGUGGCGAACGGGUGAGUAACACGUGAGUAACCUGCCCUUGACUUUGGGAUAACUUCAGGAAACUGGGGCUAAUACCGGAUAGGAGCUCCUGCUGCAUGGUGGGGGUUGGAAAGUUUCGGCGGUUGGGGAUGGACUCGCGGCUUAUCAGCUUGUUGGUGGGGUAGUGGCUUACCAAGGCUUUGACGGGUAGCCGGCCUGAGAGGGUGACCGGCCACAUUGGGACUGAGAUACGGCCCAGACUCCUACGGGAGGCAGCAGUGGGGAAUAUUGCACAAUGGGCGGAAGCCUGGUGCAGCAACGCCGCGUGCGGGAUGACGGCCUUCGGGUUGUAAACCGCUUUCGCCUGUGACGAAGCGUGAGUGACGGUAAUGGGUAAAGAAGCACCGGCUAACUACGUG
rnacentral:rRNA from 1 species